rnacentral:tRNA from 1 species
GGGGUUGUGGCUCAGUGGCAGAGCACUUGCCUCACAUGUAUGAGACACUGAGUUCCAUCCUCAGCACCACA